AAGUUGAUUCAAUUUAUAGGGCACAAUAUUAGUGCUACAGACAAACAACACGUAACUUAUUACAACAAACGAAACAAGAAAAAAAAAGGCUUCUAGGGAACUUCAAUUCUUAAGAUUUAUAAUUAAGGACUAGGCUUCAAGGUGUUGGCAACAUCAAUCACAAAACGGUAUCUAACGUCAGCCUUCUGGAGCCGUUCCAUGGCAGUGUUGACAUAAUCCGCAGAGAUAAGCUCAAUAUCUGCCGUGAUGUUGUGUUUUCCGGCCAAAUCCAUCAUCUCUUGAGUCUCUUUUAUCCCUCCUACCAUACUUCCCACCACCAUCUUUUUCCCUAUUAUAUAUUCACAACCACAAAUAUAUUCUCAAUGUUUAUCAACUGUACACUUGAAAUGUUAUUAAAUUUGUUAUGAUAAAUUGAUAAUAGUCAUGGAUAUAUAUGUCGGUAGAUUUUAUUAAUGAUACAAAAUACCAGGACAGGCCCAGAGAUUUAAAAAGCUAUAUGUAAUUUAGUAGGAGUUUUAUUAAUAAUUUUUUUUUUUUAAAUUUGACGUGAUAUAAUGCAAUAAGGCCACACGGCCAAAGUGAUAUAUGAUGCAUAAUAAGUCACACAGAUUUAUCAAGCAAGGGUAUCGACCAAACAAGCAAUUUCUAUAUGUUUUCAUGCGGCCAUAUGGUUAUAAUGCAAACCUAGCAUACUGAUUCUAUAUGUACAGGAGUGGAAUUAUGGAACCUCAAUUUAAAACAAUCAGAUCAUGCAAAGGUGAUAAUAAUCAGAUCAUGCGCAUAACAUAAACAUGUUGGUCAGGAUGAUAUAUGAUGCAAACUGGCCACACGGCCAAGUAGAUAUGAUGCACUCAUUCUUAGCAAUCGGAUUCUAUAUGUGCAAGGAUAAUAUUAAAACAUUCAAUCAAGGUUUAGCAAUUAAUCAAUCAGUUUCAGGUAUGAGAUUUAGGUAGACUAACAAUCAGAUUCAAUUAGAUUUUAUCAAGACUAGCAUUUGGAUCAAUAAUCAAAAAUAAUCAAACGGAUUCAAGCAUUACACAAUUUAGGGUUUCGAUCCAAAAAUAGGGUUUCAAUCAUGAAAAACCAAAACAAUCAGUUUCAAGGCUGAUUCUAUCAAUUUUAUUAAUCAGUUUCAAGGCUGAUAUUAGCAAGAUGGAAUCAAACAAUCUGAUUUUAGGAAUACGCAAAUUAGGGUUUAGGGUUUCAAUUCAAAUUUAGGGUUUUAUCAAUCAAUCAGCUUCUAGCAAAUAAUCUUAAACCUCAGAACAGUUGAUUAUAUCAUGAAACUAUCAACCUAGUAUAAUAUGAAACCUCAAAACAUUCAAUUCGGAUUAUGCAGUACACGGAUUCUAUUUUAGGGUUUAUCAAUUCGAAUUAGGGUUUAUAUUAUAACAGAUUCUAACAUGAAAUAUUAAACCUCAAAUCAUUCAAUCAGGUUAUAAAAACUAUCAAUCCUAACUCACAUGGAUUUAAGCCUCAAAGAAACAUUCAAUCAAUCAAAUAAAACAAUCCAUGCACACGUAAAUUAGGGUUUACAGAUUUUAAGGUUUCACUUUGAACAUUAGUUCAUUCGAUUCUGGGUUCUUAGAGUUUAGGUAUACCUUAAACCUUUGAUGGGUUGAAUGGACCACCAAGAGAAUGAGCUUACGUGGACUGGUACAAAUUGGAACCUUACGAGGACUGGUCCAAACUGUUUCCUUGCAGUCCGCGAGGUGAGAUCGGGUACAAGUUGAGAUCGAAAGUGAUUAGGGUUUAUCGAUAGAGAGAGAGGUGAUCGAUAGAGAUUAGGGUUUUAGCAAUGGAGAGAGAUUUAGGGUUUAUGGUCGAUAUUUUAGCUUAGGGUUUCAGAGAUCAAUCGUGCUGAUAACGUGUUAUAAAAGUAAUGGAAAAGUCUAUCUUUAUUCAUAACAUAGAGGUUCCUUAUAUAGGAGAUUACACCGUCAAAGAUAAAUGGAAAUAUUACAAAUCAUAAUUUCUUGGUUAUGAGCCAUCCACGAUAUGGUUCAUAACAUAUAAUGUUUAUUAAUUUGAUUAAGGUAUACUACAUCGCCCCAACCUCCUCAAUAAACAGCAUAAAACUUAUUACAACAAACCAAACAAGAACAAUAUCAUUAUGGAACUUCAAUUCUUAAGAUUUAUAAUUAAGGAGUAGGCUUCAAUGUGUUGGCAACAUCAAUCACAAAACGGUAUCUAACGUCGGCCUUCUCGAGCCGUUCCAUGGCAGUGUUGACAUAGUCCGCAGAGAUAAGCUCAAUAUCAGCAGUGAUGUUGUGUUUUCCUGCCAUAUCCACCAUCUCUUGAGUCUCCUUUAUCCCUCCUAUCAUACUUCCCAUUACCAUCUUCCUCUCUAGACAUACACAAUAACAAAAAAAAAACAUAAUUCUAAUGUUAUUUUCACUAACUUUUUUCUUGUCAAAUGUUUAUAUGUUUAAACCAAAUUUUAGUCAAUAAAAAAGGUUAUUCCGCACUUUUUCUAUACACAAAAAAAUUACCGCAAGAAAGUAAACGGAUUUGUUACUAAAACCACAUAAAUAUGGCUAAAUACGGACAUAAUAGGCUUACCGAAGAUGAGAGGCAUGACCGGGAGCUCGAGUGGCUUUUCUGGUGCACCAACCAUAACAAGUUUUCCCUUAGGCUUUAGCAAACCGAGCAAAGGAAGAAGGGAAUGAGUCGCAGAUACGGUAUUAAUAAUACCAUCCAAUGUCCUCAUUGCAUCCUUAAUCUGUUUUUGGUCACGGCUCACCACGAACGCGUCCGCACCAAGCCUAUUAAUCGCUUCAUCUCUCUUACUAUCCGAAGUACUAAUAACCGUAACCUUAAGACCCAUAGCCUUAGCAAAUUUCACCGCCACAUGACCCAAACCGCCUAGUCCAACCACACCAAUGUGCAUGCCAGGCUUGUCGAGCCCGUGAUAUUUUAGCGGGGAGUAGACCGUGAUCCCCGCGCAUAGUAGCGGAGCAGCAGCGUCCAAUGGGAGAUUGUCGGGCAUACGGAUGAUGAAACCUUCGUCGCAAACCAUGUUGUCGGAGUAACCACCGUAGGUUAUUGUGUCGUCGUAAUACUUGAAUCCGUACGUUUGGAUCGAUUUUGGACAGUAGUUCUCGAGACCUUCGGUGCAGCUAUCACAUGAUCCGCACGAGCCAACCAAGCAACCUACUCCGACUUUGUCUCCAGUUUUGAAUCUAGUCACUUUGCUUCCCACUUCAGUCACCACACCAACAAUCUCAUGCCUGAACAAAUAAAAAAACACAAGUUUCGGAUUUAAAAAUGCUCAUCGCCUAAUUUAAUAGUUCUUGAUGUUCUAAAAAUCGGUUUAAAUUAGACGCCCACGUAAAUUAGUCAUAACCGAAAUGAUUUUAUUAAAACCUAAUUUAUACUAAUCAAAUCGGUUUAAACUGUUCUAAAAAAGAAUAUUAAUCUAAAUUGGUAUAAAUUUUUUAAAUCAGCCAAUAAUGCUAGUUCAAAUCUAUGUCUAGUUUCUUUCUUUUUGUAAAUCUAAUUUUUAUAGGUCAUUAAAAUAAUUUUAUAAUUAAUUUUUAAAUGAAAAUAUCUAAUAGAAAUGUAAAAUAUAUAAUAAUAAAUCAAUAAUUCGUUAACAUCUAAACCCUUUCUAGGCUCCCAGUAACCCGUCUAGUCGAUAGUCCUCUGCUAAACGUCUAAUUAGUGCCUCACAAAUCUUUUGAACAUUUGUACUCUUAGAAAUAAUGUUCAUACGUCGCUUUAUGUUUAAAUAACAUACAUAUUUUACUCUAACACACACAUAUUAUAAGAUUGGUAAAAUAUAAAUUUAUGUAUUACGUACCCGGGGACGAGAGGGUAAGUAGAUAUUCCCCACUCAUUUUUGAUCAUAUGCAAAUCAGAGUGACAGAUUCCACAGAACAAAACUUUGAACCUAACAUCCUUCUCUCCUGUCUCCCUACACAUCAAUUCGACCAAAACUUAUUUUUCAUUAAUACAAAAAGUAUAUAGGGUCAUUGAUAGAUAUUAAUUCACUUGGUGACUCACACGCGCCUAUGCACAGGCAUAACGUUUUUUAAUAAACCAAAAUGUAAUAAUUUUGGAUAAUUUAUAUUAGUUUUAGUUGUAUUUGUUUGUGUAUUUUCAUGUUAUUUUAACUAAAGUUUUAUUUAUAAAUUAUUUAGUUGCAGUGUUAUGAUUUUUUGUGCAAUAUAUUCAAUUUGGCAAUAAUAUUUAUUUCUAAAAUCUAGUGUAAAAAUUGAUGUUAAAUGUGUUAAUUAUUUUUGAUUAAAAUUUUACCAAUUGUUUCUCGAACUUCAUAACCAAGUCAUUACUUUUGGUUGUUACAAUUAUUCUUCUUCUAUUUUGAUUUUGUUUAUUGUAGGAUUAAUAGAAGUUGAAAGAUAUGCAUUUUUAAAAUUAUCUCAGCAUCAAUCAAAACCAUCGUAAUAGAAACAACUUCUUUAAAAUAUUUUUUUCCAAACACGUCAUAGUGUUUAUUUGAUUUUAGAUGUAUAUAUCUAAAGAAGAAUGAAAUUUUCGGAUGGAAGUCGUAGAAAUCGUUUUCCUACCAAGGAAAGAUAUUUUUUUUAUGCAUAAUUUUUUUUAUGUGAAUAAUGAAUGAUUGACUGAUAUUUUAUAUUGAUGUCGAUAGUUUAAUAGUUUAGAUAUAUGAGAAUCAAUUGCUUAUUUAUUACUCCUUCCGUUUCAUAAAGAAUGUCACUUCAACAUUUUUUACACAGAUUAUGAAAAUGAUUGAAAUGCAUUUAAGUUCUUAUUAAUUACACAUAUUCAACCAAUAGUAUUUGAGAUAAAUACAAUUAUUUAUAAAAUCAAUGCAUUUGUAAUUAAUUUUAAUCUCAAAGUUGCAUUGAAAUUCUAAAAUGACACUCUUUUUGCAACAAGAAAAAAAAUACUAAAGUGACACUUAGUAUGAAACAGAUGGAGUAUUUUUGAAGCAUUUAAAUAGUAUUAGAAUUAAGACUUUAUGAUGUAAAACAAAUUGCAUAAAAUUGUGCUGAUAUUUUUGUAGAAAUAAAAAUAUUGUAUAAUUAUCAAAUGGUAUAUCACAUAGUUUCCUUUUUAUUAAAAAAAAAUAUGUUUGAAACAUAUUAAAAUUUCGCAUUUUAAUAGUAAAAAUAUUCCUUUUUCAUAAAAUAUGGUUUCAUUGAUAAAAACUAAAAUAAAAAAAUGAAAAUAUUUCUAGAUAUUGUCAUUUAUAUGAAAUUUCUUUUCAUUAACAAUUUAGUUAUAAAAGGAAUGUACUACUAAAAAGAACAUAAAAUAAAAUAUUAAUAACAACAGUUAUAAUAAUAAACUCAAUUAGUAAUAAACCAUUAUAAUAUGGUUUUAUUAAUAAAAAAGAAAAUAAACAGAAAUAUUCAUAGAUAUUGCCUUUUAUAUGAAAUUCCUUUUUAUAACAAUUUGGUUAUAAUAGGAAUGUAUUAAUAGAAACAAAAUAAAAAUAAAAUAUUAAUAAUGGCAAUUAUGUAAUAAACUUAAUUCAUUAAUGCUAUCAGUGUAAUAAACCACUGUGAGAGUUAACGUGAGCAUGUCACGUAAGAAAGUGACUUCUCAAAUAAUGUUACGGAGAUUUUUAUGUAAAAAAACCUUCUAGAGAAAUGGAAAGGCGAGAGAACUCCAGAAUUGUCUUUCGCGGCCAAUCCAAAUGCCUCCUUUCCCAUAAUGGAUCAAAGAAGAACAAGAGCUAGAGAAAUGGAUUGGAGAAGUAAGCAAGUGUGUGGUUUCGUUUUUAUGUGAAUGCACUUCUAAAUAAUUGAGAAGUUUAAGUUUAUGAGUAGAGAGACAAGAUCUUUAAUAUAGGAAGGGAUUGUGGCACCGACGGGAACGGGAGCCAUUAGGACCAUUCACACUAUAAGAUUACCUCAAUGACUCGUUCUUUUCUUCCUUGUAUAUUUUCUUGCCUUUUUUAGAGGUGUUAAAUCUUUGACUCUACAAGAUAAGUAUGAAUACAUUAGGUAUUAGUUUGUUUGCUAAGCAUGCGUGAAUAUGAUACAUUCAUAAAUUGGUAUGAAUGCAACAGAACUGCUGUUAGAAUAUGAACCAGAUCUGCUGAAACAUUGAGAAGAAGACACGUCACAAAAUAUUCAAGCUCUUAAAGUUUUGGUAAUAGCCAAAAUGAAAAUGUAUUGGUCGAAACUUAAGCCUUGCUCUGACCAAAUAUGUCGUAUCUUCAACAAAAAAAAAACAAAACAAAUUAUAUAUUAAAUAAAAGCAAAGUUUUCAUAACGAAUAUGUAAAACGUGCUUUUAUAUUCCUUAUAACCAAAAAUUUGUCGUUCUUCAGUUCUAUCUAAUUUUCAUUUUCCGAGCAUAAUUAAAAAUCCAUAUUAAAUGUAUGGAACUCGUUGAACCACAUGCUGUAUGGACCUGGCACACCGACAAGUCUGUACGUGCGGGCCACUGCGAACGUUAGGAAAGCUAUUUUCACAUAUUAUUCGUAUUGAUUAAAUCGAAUAAACGUAAAAAUGACGAAAUUUAAUACUACUUCAAAGUUCAAAGUUAUAUGAUUUUGUCAGUGUAGUCGUGUAUUGUUUGUCUGUUCUUGUGGUCUAUACAUCGCCACUUGCUUUUGCUCCCAAAUAGUGUCGUCUACGCAACAUACUCAUAGCUAAACGCGUUUACACUGUUAAGAUACAUGCACCUGGAUAUUAGACCAAACGAAUAGUUUGAAUUUAGUCCCGAAAUCAUACCUUAUGAAACGUGUUUAUACUAUCAAGAGACAAGAGCAAGUUUUCUAUCAAGAGACUAUGCAUAAAAAUCUUGGUACUUUAUAAUCAAUCAUAUUGUUAUUAUUGGUCGGAUUGCUCAGACAACACAGCUUCUAUCAUUUACACCCAGCAUAUUUCAACCUUAAGAACCUAUACAAGACCAAUUAAUAUGAACAGGAAAACAAACAUUCACUUAUACAUGUAAUAUUUUUAUUUUCCAAUAUUUUUGAGAUUUUACAGUAUCACCAGUCAAAACCUACUAUUUGAAUUAAACUUCCCAAGAUCUUAUUAAUAUAGCAAACAUUACAUUCAAGUUGAUUCAAUUUAUAGGGCACAAUAUUAGUGCUACAGACAAACAACGUAACUUAUUACAACAAACCAAACAAGAAAAAAAAGGCUUCUAGGGAACUUCAAUUCUUAAGAUUUAUAAUUAAGGACUAGGCUUCAAGGUGUUGGCAACAUCAAUCACAAAACGGUAUCUAACGUCAGCCUUCUGGAGCCGUUCCAUGGCAGUGUUGACAUAAUCCGCAGAGAUAAGCUCAAUAUCUGCCGUGAUGUUGUGUUUUCCGGCCAAAUCCAUCAUCUCUUGAGUCUCUUUUAUCCCUCCUACCAUACUUCCCACCACCAUCUUUUUCCCUAUUAUAUAUUCACAACCACAAAUAUAUUCUCAAUGUUUAUCAACUGUACACUUGAAAUGUUAUUAAAUUUGUUAUGAUAAAUUGAUAAUAGUCAUGGAUA
rnacentral:lncRNA from 1 species